rnacentral:rRNA from 1 species
GACGUAGGGCGCAAGCGUUGUCCGGAUUUAUUGGGCGUGAAGAGCUCGUAGGCGGCUUGCCACGUCUGCCGUGAAAACCAGCAGCUUAACUGUUGGCUUGCGGUUGAUACGGGUUGGCUGGAGUUCGGUAGGGGAGACUGGAAUUCCUGGUGUAGCGGUGAAAUGCGCAGAUAUCAGGAAGAACACCCGUGGCUAAGGCGGUUCUCUAGUACGGUACUGACGCUGAGACGCGAAAGCGUGGGGAGCGAACAGG